rnacentral:rRNA from 1 species
CCUACGGGCGGCAGCAGUGAGGAAUAUUGGUCAAUGGCCGCAGGGCUGAACCAGCCAAGUCGCGUGAGGGAUGACGGUCCUAUGGAUUGUAAACCUCUUUUGUCAGGGAGCAAAGGGCGCCACGUGUGGCGCUUUGCGAGUACCUGAAGAAAAAGCAUCGGCUAACUCCGUGCCAGCAGCCGCGGUAAUACGGAGGAUGCGAGCGUUAUCCGGAUUUAUUGGGUUUAAAGGGUGCGCAGGCGGAAUGUCAAGUCAGCGGUAAAAUUUCGGGGCUCAACCCCGUCGUGCCGUUGAAACUGGGGGCCUUGAGUGGGCGAGAAGAAGGCGGAAUGCGUGGUGUAGCGGUGAAAUGCAUAGAUAUCACGCAGAACCCCGAUUGCGAAGGCAGCCUUCCGGCGCCCUACUGACGCUGAGGCACGAAAGUGCGGGGAUCGAACAGGAUUAGAUACCCCAGUAGUC